rnacentral:rRNA from 1 species
UACGGAGGGGGCUAGCGUUGUUCGGAAUUACUGGGCGUAAAGCGCACGUAGGCGGCUUUGUAAGUUAGAGGUGAAAGCCCGGGGCUCAACUCCGGAAUUGCCUUUAAGACUGCAUCGCUCGAGUUGUGGAGAGGUAAGUGGAAUUCCGAGUGUAGAGGUGAAAUUCGUAGAUAUUCGGAAGAACACCAGUGGCGAAGGCGACUUACUGGACACAUACUGACGCUGAGGUGCGAAAGCGUGGGGAGCGAACAGG